rnacentral:rRNA from 1 species
GAUGAACGCUGGCGGCGUGCUUAACACAUGCAAGUCGAACGGAAAGGCUCCUGCUUGCAGGGGUACUCGAGUGGCGAACGGGUGAGUAACACGUGGGUGAUCUGCCCAGCACUUCGGGAUAAGCCUGGGAAACUGGGUCUAAUACCGGAUAGGACGAUGGUUUGGAUGCCAUUGUGGAAAGUUUUUUCGGUGUGGGAUGAGCUCGCGGCCUAUCAGCUUGUUGGUGGGGUAAUGGCCUACCAAGGCGUCGACGGGUAGCCGGCCUGAGAGGGUGUACGGCCACAUUGGGACUGAGAUACGGCGCAGACUCCUACGGGAGGCAGCAGUGGGGAAUAUUGCACAAUGGGCGCAAGCCUGAUGCAGCGACGCCGCGUGGGGGAUGACGGCCUUCGGGUUGUAAACUCCUUUCGCUAGGGACGAAGCGCAAGUGACGGUACCUGGAGAAGAAGCACCGGCUAACUACGUG